rnacentral:pre_miRNA from 12 species
UGUCGGAUAGCUUAUCAGACUGAUGUUGACUGUUGGAUCUCAUGGCAACAACAGUCGGUAGGCUGUCUGACA